GAGUUUGAUCGUGGCUCAGAUUGAACGCUGGCGGCAUGCCUUACACAUGCAAGUCGAACGGCAGCACGGGAGCUUGCUCCUGGUGGCGAGUGGCGAACGGGUGAGUAAUGCAUCGGAACGUAUCCUGGAGUGGGGGAUAACGUAGCGAAAGUUACGCUAAUACCGCAUAUUCUGUGAGCAGGAAGCGGGGGACCUUCGGGCCUCGCGCUCUUGGAGCGGCCGAUGUCGGAUUAGCUAGUUGGUGAGGUAAAGGCUCACCAAGGCGACGAUCCGUAGCAGGUCUGAGAGGAUGAUCUGCCACACUGGAACUGAGACACGGUCCAGACUCCUACGGGAGGCAGCAGUGGGAAUUUUGGACAAUGGGGCAACCCUGAUCCAGCCAUGCCGCGUGAGUGAAGAAGGCCUU
rnacentral:rRNA from 1 species